rnacentral:rRNA from 1 species
UGGUCUAAGGGGAUGAUCCCCCACACUGGUACUGAGGCACGGACCAGACUCCUACGGGAGGCAGCAGUGAGGGAUAUUGGUCAGUGGGCGGGAGCCUGAACCAGCCAUGCCGCGUGCAGGAAGACGGCCCUAUGGGUCGUAAACUGCUUUUGUUUGGGAAGAAAAGGCCCUACGUGUAGGGCACUGACGGUACCAGAUGAAUAAGCAUCGGCUGACUCCGUGCCAGCAGCCGCGGUAGUACGGAGGAUGCGAGCGUUAUCCGGAUUUAUUAGGUUUAAAGGGUGUGUAGGCGGAAAACUAAGUCAGUGGUGAGGUCUCCCGGCUCAGCCGGGAAACUGCCAUAGAUACUGGUUUUCUUGAGUACAGUUGAAGUAGGCGGAAUGUGUAAUGUAGCGGUGGGGUGCUUAGAUAUUACACAGAACACCGAUUGCGGAGGCAGCUUGCUAAGCUGUUACUGACGCUGAUGCACGAAAGCGUGGGGAGCGAGCAGGAUUGGGUACCCUGGUAGUCCACGCCGUAAACGAUGAUUACUCGUUGUUGGCGAUGUGUUGUCAGCGACUGAGCGAAAGCAUUAAGUAAUCCACCUGGGGAGUACGGCGGCAGCGCUGAAACUCAAAGGAAUUGACGGGGGCCCGCACAAGCGGAGGAACAUGUGGUUUAAUUCGAUGUACGCGAGGAACCUUACCUGGGCUUAAAUGUAGCGCGACCGUAUCCGGAAGGGUAUUUCCAAGCAAUUGGCGGGCUACAAGGUGCUGCAUGGCUGUCGUCAGCUCGUGCCGUGAGGUGUCGGGUUGAGUCCCAUAACGAGCGCAACCCCUAUUGUUAGUUGCCAGCGGGUCAAGCCGGGAACUCUAACGAGACUGCCACCGUAAGGUGAGAGGAAGAUGGGGAUGACGUCAAGUCAGCACGGCCCUUAUGUCCAGGGCUACACACGUGUUACAAUGGUCGGUACAAAGGGCAGCUACCUGGUGACAGGGUGCCAAUCUCGAAAACUGAUCCCAGUUCGGAUCGAAGUCUGCGACUCGACUUCGUGAAGUUGGAUUCGCUAGUAAUCGUAUAUCAGCAGUGAUACGGUGAAUACGUUCCCGGGCUUUGUACACACCGCCCGUCAAGCCAUGGAAGCCGGGGGUACCUGAAGUCCGUGACCGCAAGGGGCGGCCUAGGGUAAAACUGGUAACUGGGGCUAAGUCGUAACAAGGUA